AUUGAACGCUGGCGGCAGGCCUAACACAUGCAAGUCGAGCGGAGCGGCAGACGGUUGAGUAAUGCCUAGGAAUCUUCCUGGCAGUGGGGUAUAACGUCCGGAAACGGGCGCUAAUACCGCAUACUCUCAGAUGAGCUUAGCGCGGAUUAGCUUGUUGGUGGGGUAAAGGCCUACAAAGGCGACGAUCCGUAGCUGGUCUGAGAGGAUGAUCAGUCACACUGGGACUGAGACACGGUCCAGACGCCUACGGGAGGCAGCAGUGGGGAAUAUUGGACAAUGGGCGAAAGCCUGAUCCAGCCAUGCCGCUGGUGUGAAGAAGGUCUUCGGUUUGUAAAGCACUUUAAGUUGGGAGGCGUUACCAACAGAAUAAGCACCGGCUAACUUCGUGCCAGCAGCCGCGGUAAUAC
rnacentral:rRNA from 1 species